UACGUAGGGUGCAAGCGUUAAUCGGAAUACUGGGCGUAAAGCGUGCGCAGGCGGUGAUGUAAGACAGGUGUGAAAUCCCCGGGCUUAACCUGGGAACUGCAUUUGUGACUGCAUCGCUGGAGUGCGGCAGAGGGGGAUGGAAUUCCGCGUGUAGCAGUGAAAUGCGUAGAUAUGCGGAGGAACACCGGUGGCGAAGGCGGCUACCUGGACCGGUUCUGACGCUGAUGCGCGAAAGCGUGGGUAGCAAACAGG
rnacentral:rRNA from 1 species